UGAGUGAUCCGGUGAAUUAUUCGGACCUUGACUAAGUCAGUUCUGACCUGGUUGGGGGAAGUCUUGUGAACCUUAUCACUUAGAGGAAGGAGAAGUCGUAACAAGGUUUCCGUAGGUGAACCUGCGGAAGGAUCAUUC
rnacentral:rRNA from 1 species